rnacentral:rRNA from 1 species
UACGUAGGGGGCAAGCGUUGUCCGGAUUUAUUGGGCGUAAAGAGCUCGUAGGUGGUUCGGUAAGUCGGAUGUGAAAUCUCCAGGCUCAACCUGGAGGGGUCAUUCGAUACUGCCGUGACUAGAGGUCGGUAGGGGAGUGUGGAAUUCCUGGUGGAGCGGUGAAAUGCGCAGAUAUCAGGAGGAACACCGGUGGCGAAGGCGGCAUCCUGGACCGACACUGACACUGAGGAGCGAAAGCCAGGGGAGCAAACGGG